UACGGAGGGUGCAAGCGUUAUCCGGAUUUACUGGGUUUAAAGGGUGCGUAGGCGGAAUGAUAAGUCAGCGGUGAAAUCCCUCGGCUUAACCGAGGAACUGCCGUUGAUACUGUCAAUCUUGAGUACAUUUGAUGUGGGCGGAAUGUGUCAUGUAGCGGUGAAAUGCUUAGAUAUGACACAGAACACCGAUUGCGAAGGCAGCUCACAAAACUGUAACUGACGCUGAGGCACGAAAGCGUGGGUAUCAACAGG
rnacentral:rRNA from 1 species